UGUGUCACAGGUGAGGUCAGGUGGGAUCAGGUGGGAUCAGGUGUGUCACAGGUGUGUCACAGGUGAGGUCAGGUGGGAUCAGGUGUGUCACAGGUGAGCUCAGGUGGGCUCAGGUGUGUCACAGGUGUGUCACAGGUGAGCUCAGGUGGGAUCAGGUGUGUCACAGGUGUGUCACAGGUGUGUCACAGGUGAGGUCAGGUGGGAUCAGGCGUGUCACAGGUGUGUCACAGGUGAGGUCAGGUGUGUCAG